UUGGAAAGUCUGAUGGUAAUUUUCUAUAAAAUACUCUUAAUUAAAAAUUUUUAAAGUUAUUUAGGAUAAGAAUCCUGGUAUUUAAAAUAAAUUAUUUAUCAUAUAAUGCAAAUAGUUAAUAAAUUAUAAUAAAUAUGAUAGUGCAAUUGUAAAUAAGCCUAUGGUUAGCUUUUAUUUUAGUUAGCUUCAAAUUAAAACAAAAAUCAGCUUUA
rnacentral:RNase_P_RNA from 1 species